rnacentral:rRNA from 1 species
GGUUAAGCGACUAAGCGUACACGGUGGAUGCCCUGGCAGUCAGAGGCGAUGAAGGACGUGCUAAUCUGCGAUAAGCGUCGGUAAGGUGAUAUGAACCGUUAUAACCGGCGAUUUCCGAAUGGGGAAACCCAGUGUGUUUCGACACACUAUCAUUAACUGAAUCCAUAGGUUAAUGAGGCGAACCGGGGGAACUGAAACAUCUAAGUACCCCGAGGAAAAGAAAUCAACCGAGAUUCCCCCAGUAGCGGCGAGCGAACGGGGAGCAGCCCAGAGCCUGAAUCAGUAUGUGUGUUAGUGGAAGCGUCUGGAAAGGCGCGCGAUACAGGGUGACAGCCCCGUACACAAAAAUGCACAUAUUGUGAGCUCGAUGAGUAGGGCGGGACACGUGGUAUCCUGUCUGAAUAUGGGGGGACCAUCCUCCAAGGCUAAAUACUCCUGACUGACCGAUAGUGAACCAGUACCGUGAGGGAAAGGCGAAAAGAACCCCGGCGAGGGGAGUGAAAAAGAACCUGAAACCGUGUACGUACAAGCAGUGGGAGCACGCUUAGGCGUGUGACUGCGUACCUUUUGUAUAAUGGGUCAGCGACUUAUAUUCUGUAGCAAGGUUAACCGAAUAGGGGAGCCGAAGGGAAACCGAGUCUUAACUGGGCGUUAAGUUGCAGGGUAUAGACCCGAAACCCGGUGAUCUAGCCAUGGGCAGGUUGAAGGUUGGGUAACACUAACUGGAGGACCGAACCGACUAAUGUUGAAAAAUUAGCGGAUGACUUGUGGCUGGGGGUGAAAGGCCAAUCAAACCGGGAGAUAGCUGGUUCUCCCCGAAAGCUAUUUAGGUAGCGCCUCGUGAAUUCAUCUCCGGGGGUAGAGCACUGUUUCGGCAAGGGGGUCAUCCCGACUUACCAACCCGAUGCAAACUGCGAAUACCGGAGAAUGUUAUCACGGGAGACACACGGCGGGUGCUAACGUCCGUCGUGAAGAGGGAAACAACCCAGACCGCCAGCUAAGGUCCCAAAGUCAUGGUUAAGUGGGAAACGAUGUGGGAAGGCCCAGACAGCCAGGAUGUUGGCUUAGAAGCAGCCAUCAUUUAAAGAAAGCGUAAUAGCUCACUGGUCGAGUCGGCCUGCGCGGAAGAUGUAACGGGGCUAAACCAUGCACCGAAGCUGCGGCAGCGACGCUUAUGCGUUGUUGGGUAGGGGAGCGUUCUGUAAGCCUGCGAAGGUGUGCUGUGAGGCAUGCUGGAGGUAUCAGAAGUGCGAAUGCUGACAUAAGUAACGAUAAAGCGGGUGAAAAGCCCGCUCGCCGGAAGACCAAGGGUUCCUGUCCAACGUUAAUCGGGGCAGGGUGAGUCGACCCCUAAGGCGAGGCCGAAAGGCGUAGUCGAUGGGAAACAGGUUAAUAUUCCUGUACUUGGUGUUACUGCGAAGGGGGGACGGAGAAGGCUAUGUUGGCCGGGCGACGGUUGUCCCGGUUUAAGCGUGUAGGCUGGUUUUCCAGGCAAAUCCGGAAAAUCAAGGCUGAGGCGUGAUGACGAGGCACUACGGUGCUGAAGCAACAAAUGCCCUGCUUCCAGGAAAAGCCUCUAAGCAUCAGGUAACAUCAAAUCGUACCCCAAACCGACACAGGUGGUCAGGUAGAGAAUACCAAGGCGCUUGAGAGAACUCGGGUGAAGGAACUAGGCAAAAUGGUGCCGUAACUUCGGGAGAAGGCACGCUGAUAUGUAGGUGAAGCGACUUGCUCGUGGAGCUGAAAUCAGUCGAAGAUACCAGCUGGCUGCAACUGUUUAUUAAAAACACAGCACUGUGCAAACACGAAAGUGGACGUAUACGGUGUGACGCCUGCCCGGUGCCGGAAGGUUAAUUGAUGGGGUCAGCGCAAGCGAAGCUCUUGAUCGAAGCCCCGGUAAACGGCGGCCGUAACUAUAACGGUCCUAAGGUAGCGAAAUUCCUUGUCGGGUAAGUUCCGACCUGCACGAAUGGCGUAAUGAUGGCCAGGCUGUCUCCACCCGAGACUCAGUGAAAUUGAACUCGCUGUGAAGAUGCAGUGUACCCGCGGCAAGACGGAAAGACCCCGUGAACCUUUACUAUAGCUUGACACUGAACAUUGAGCCUUGAUGUGUAGGAUAGGUGGGAGGCUUUGAAGUGUGGACGCCAGUCUGCAUGGAGCCGACCUUGAAAUACCACCCUUUAAUGUUUGAUGUUCUAACGUUGACCCGUAAUCCGGGUUGCGGACAGUGUCUGGUGGGUAGUUUGACUGGGGCGGUCUCCUCCUAAAGAGUAACGGAGGAGCACGAAGGUUGGCUAAUCCUGGUCGGACAUCAGGAGGUUAGUGCAAUGGCAUAAGCCAGCUUGACUGCGAGCGUGACGGCGCGAGCAGGUGCGAAAGCAGGUCAUAGUGAUCCGGUGGUUCUGAAUGGAAGGGCCAUCGCUCAACGGAUAAAAGGUACUCCGGGGAUAACAGGCUGAUACCGCCCAAGAGUUCAUAUCGACGGCGGUGUUUGGCACCUCGAUGUCGGCUCAUCACAUCCUGGGGCUGAAGUAGGUCCCAAGGGUAUGGCUGUUCGCCAUUUAAAGUGGUACGCGAGCUGGGUUUAGAACGUCGUGAGACAGUUCGGUCCCUAUCUGCCGUGGGCGCUGGAGAACUGAGGGGGGCUGCUCCUAGUACGAGAGGACCGGAGUGGACGCAUCACUGGUGUUCGGGUUGUCAUGCCAAUGGCACUGCCCGGUAGCUAAAUGCGGAAGAGAUAAGUGCUGAAAGCAUCUAAGCACGAAACUUGCCCCGAGAUGAGUUCUCCCUGACUCCUUGAGAGUCCUGAAGGAACGUUGAAGACGACGACGUUGAUAGGCCGGGUGUGUAAGCGCAGCGAUGCGUUGAGCUAACCGGUACUAAUGAACCGUGAGGCUUAACCUU